AGACCCGAAACCCGGUGAUCUAGCCAUGGGCAGGUUGAAGGUUGGGUAACACUAACUGGAGGACCGAACCGACUAAUGUUGAAAAAUUAGCGGAUGACCUGUGGCUGGGGGUGAAAGGCCAAUCAAACCGGGAGAUAGCUGGUUCUCCCCGAAAGCUAUUUAGGUAGCGCCUCGUGAAUUCAUCUCCGGGGGUAGAGCACUGUUUCGGCUAGGGGGCCAUCCCGGCUUACCAACCCGAUGCAAACUGCGAAUACCGGAGAAUGUUAUCACGGGAGACACACGGCGGGUGCUAACGUCCGUCGUGAAGAGGGAAACAACCCAGACCGCCAGCUAAGGUCCCAAAGUCAUGGUUAAGUGGGAAACGAUGUGGGAAGGCCCAGACAGCCAGGAUGUUGGCUUAGAAGCAGCCAUCAUUUAAAGAAAGCGUAAUAGCUCACUGGUCGAGUCGGCCUGCGCGGAAGAUGUAACGGGGCUAAACCAUGCACCGAAGCUGCGGCAGCGACACUGUGUGUUGUUGGGUAGGGGAGCGUUCUGUAAGCCUGUGAAGGUGUGUCGUGAGGCAUGCUGGAGGUAUCAGAAGUGCGAAUGCUGACAUAAGUAACGAUAAAGCGGGUGAAAAGCCCGCUCGCCGGAAGACC
rnacentral:rRNA from 2 species